GACAACGAACAAGGGUUCCCCGGAAGAGUUGAAGUAGCAGUGACAUACAUGCUCAUUGGCAGAAACAAAUAUGCGGUGAAAAUGAUUGCGAAGCCAGUAGACAAAGCCACGCCAGUGAACCUGGCACAGCACACAUACUGGAAUUUGGGAGGUCAAAAGAGUGGUGACAUUCUAUCACACAAAGUUCAAAUUUUAGGGUCAAAGAUCACAG
rnacentral:sRNA from 1 species